GUCAACCAAGUUGCUUUACUUUUAAACUGCCACUGGCGGGUCGUGAGCAUACUUUCGUGUCCUCUGGAAACCCUGGCUUUCACACCUAUUUGUCAUCAACUCAUCAAGCAUAUAACACUUGAAGACUGACUCAAAAUCUAUGGCCGCAUGAUGAGUUUUAUGACAAGAACAGAAAUCCCUACGAAGUUCCUGUAAGCAAGCCACUUACCUGUUACCUCACCUGGUGGUCUGAAGAAAUUUACUUGGUGAUUUGCUUCCUAGUAUUAAUUCAGGGGACGUGUUUGGCUGUGAGCAGCAGAGUUGGGAACAGCAUCAGCAUCCAUUUAUCCACAUCAUUACCCACAUCUACCACUGCUGCCACAGACACACAGAGCUCAGUCUCCAAUCUCCAGUCCACAAGAUGACACUUUGACCUCUGGGAAGUGCUGCCAUGUGAUUACAGAAGAGGAGAGAUGCAAAGACACGGCGAACAGUUGUUGUUAAGCAUGGACGAAUACCAAACUCCAAACUCAUUCAAACUCAGUUCUGCUCUGCUGCACUUUGACUACUCUACAGAUCUGGUAAGAUGCACGCAUUUACAUAAUAAUAGCACAUUUAGAUGGUGGAUGAACAGCAGCUGCAAACCUUUACAUUUCGAUGCCGAGUCAUUCUCCAGUGCAUACUAUGUACCAUUUGUAGACCGUAAUAAAAUGCAGAACAUUUAGGCCAAUCCUUAUUCUUGAGCACACUCAAUUUUUUCAGUUGAUAAAGUGUUGUCUGAUGUCCUCAGCUCCUUGCAUACACUAUAAAUGCCUCCGCUAAAUAACAAACACUCAGGUGUUGCACUUCAAGGUAACUGUCUUUGCACCUUGGAAGUCGAUCAGCCACAAAACAAUAAAUGAGCAUUCGCCACCAGAACAAAUACAAAUGCGCCGAACUCAGUUGUGUAAAAAGUUACUUAACAAUUCUGGUACAUGCACUCUGAAACAUGCAAAUAUCUACAUAAGAAUAUAAUACAAGUGAUAGCUUGUUGGUGUAUCCAACCUUUCAAAAGUUAUCCUUUAGGAACGAAGCCAAUUUUUCAACAGUUAGAAUCCCCUGAUAUUGAGUUUGAUCCUUUUCUCUUCAUUUUGCGAUGCAGGCUUCUAGCUGCUGGGGCUAAUAAUAAAUUCUACACCUUUAAGCAACAAUGCAUCAGUUACAAAUAUAAGUUGUAUAUUUGAGGACAGAAAAUAGAGGUUGGUGUUGUAAAAUGCUGUAAAAAUGUUUAGCAAUGGUGUUUAAAUGUUUAUUUUACCACGGGAGUCUAGGAUUACUGACUAACAUUCCCUAAGUCACCAUUCUGCAUUCUUUCUAAUCACCAGCAAGAGACUAUUGCUCUUUAACAAAACAGUGUUUUCCACUUUCUACUUUUUAACUUGCUAGCCAGUGACUUUCAUUGAUUCGGGGUUACAGGCAGUGAAGCAAAGGUAGAGGAACUGACACAAGCUGGAGAGAAUUGAGCAGGCAACAAGAUGCAAGGAACCUGCAGAGCACAAAUAUCUCCAUUAUAAUGCAAUAAUCCGGAUAAUACAGUUUUAUCCGGUGCCUCCUGCGUCUCCCUAUUAUAAACAAAUUUUAUACACAGUUCCACGAUUUUGGCUUGAAAGUAAAUGGAAAAUUGACAGACAAUCAGUUUUAUCGUCAGAUGAGGCCUGUUCUUAUUAGUUUGAUAUUAAACCACACCUAAUAUGUGAAGCUGAUGGUUGAAUGGUUGAAUUUGUGUUUUAUAGCUUUUUACUGUAAUUUUCAAUUAGGGGCCUAAAGAGAUGUUAGCUCCAGAGAGAGGGGCCAUUAUUGGGCUAAUAACAAAACCCGACAACUACGAAUGGGAACUGAUAAGGAUUUAGCGAUUCCGAUUUCAUUAUCGAUAUCACUUAUCGAUUUGAUUCAUUAUUGAUUUUCACUGGAUUCUCAUUGCGUUCACUGGGAGUCACCACCAUCACAUGUCAAAGACAUUACAUUCUGCACAUUAAUUGCAUGCUGUGUGGUCAAAUGAUUGUGUGUGUAGGAGGUAUUUUUCCUCUUUGUUGUGGUCAGUGUUGGGGUCGUUACUCAAAGAAAGUUACUACACAAAAUUUACACAGAACACUUUUUUUUAAAAGUAUUCCAGUACAUUACUUAAUUAUUCCUUUUGCAUUUUUCUGCAAAAUUACAUGAAAAAACAUUGUCUCAUAAUUAGCAUUUAACACUAUAAAUCAGUAGGUUACAGUCCCACACACCAACACAAAUCCCUAUCCUAAUGAGGACACACAUGUGAUCUUUCUCUUAGUUUUUAGGUAAGAACAUAAAGCUGACAACACAAAGCACAGAUGAAAACCAGCACAUAGACACUUCAAAGCUAUCGCCACGCUGAUUCUACUUCAGAAACAAGAACAGGUAGAAACAGAGGCAGCAGCCUGACUGCUCGUCAGUUUGUUACCUGUUGAAGUUCAGAGUCUGGCUGCUGGGCUGGGAGAGCAUUCGCUCAGCUUUAACAUUACCCUCAGUUCUCGACUAGCUUAGCGUUAGCAUAGGUGAGCAUGCUUGCAAAGAACCGAAGUUGUAAUGGCAGCAUAAUGAUAUUGUUUCUAUUCUGGAAGCAGUUUGCACUUUACCAUUCCGCUCUUCUUCUUUGUGCAAUAACAACAUCUCCAUAUCCAUGCUGUAGACUGCACCACUGUUUUCCCUCCUACAGCACACAAACUAAAAUCAGCUGAUUGUACCGCAAGUGCAAAUGGAACCG
ensembl:lncRNA